rnacentral:rRNA from 1 species
GUUAGUAAUUUAAGGUCUAAUCUGCCCACUGAAUAAUUAAAUGGCCGCAGUAUUUUGACUGUGCAAAGGUAGCAUAAUCAUUAGUUUUUUAAUUGAAAGCUAGAAUGAAUGAUUGAACGAGAUAAAGUCUGUCUCUUUAUAAAAAUUAGAAAUUAAUUUUUAAGUUAAAAAGCUUAAAUAUAAGUAAAAGACGAGAAGACCCUAUAGAUUUUAAUUUAAUUAAUAUAUUAUAUAUAAGGAUUAAAUAGUUUAAUAUAUGAUUUUAAAUUUUAUUGGGGUAAUAAAUAGAUUAUAUUAAUUCUUUUUUAUUUUUAUAUAAAUUAAUAAAUUUUUGAUCCAUGAUAAUGAUUAAAAGAUUAAAUUACCUUAGGGAUAACAGCGUAAUUUUAUUGGAGAGUUCUUAUCGAUAAUAAAGUUUGCGACCUCGAUGUUGGAUUAAAAUUAGUUUUAAAUGCAGAAGUUUAAAAUUUUAGUCUGUUCGACUAUUAAAUUUUU